CAUGCAAGUCGCGGGGCAUCAUGGAUUCAGCUUGCUGAGUCUGAUGGCGACCGGCGCACGGGUGAGUAACGCGUAUCCAACCUACCCCUGUCCACGGGAUAGCCCGUCGAAAGACGGAUUAAUACCGUAUGAGGUCACAUGCUGGCAUCAAAGUGUGACGAAAGGUUUGGCGGACAGUGAUGGGGAUGCGUCCGAUUAGCUUGUUGGCGGGGUAACGGCCCACCAAGGCAUCGAUCGGUAGGGGUUCUGAGAGGAAGGUCCCCCACAUUGGAACUGAGACACGGUCCAAACUCCUACGGGAGGCAGCAGUGAGGAAUAUUGGUCAAUGGCCGAGAGGCUGAACCAGCCAAGUAGCGUGCAGGACGACGGCCCUAUGGGUUGUAAACUGCUUUUAUGCGGGGAUAAAGUUCGGGACUUGUCCCGUUUUGCAGGUACCGCAUGAAUAAGGACCGGCUAAUUCCGUGCCAGCAGCCGCGGUAAUACGGAAGGUCCGGGCGUUAUCCGGAUUUAUUGGGUUUAAAGGGAGCGUAGGCUGGUGUUUAAGCGUGUUGUGAAAAGCCGUCGCUCAACGACGGCCGUGCAGCGCGAACUGGACGCCUUGAGUGCGCUGAAAGUGGGCGGAAUUUGUGGUGUAGCGGUGAAAUGCUUAGAUAUCACGAAGAACUCCGAUUGCGAAGGCAGCUCACUGUAUCGCGACUGACGCUGAAGCUCGAAAGUGCGGGUAUCGAACAGGAUUAGAUACCCUGGUAGUCCGCACGGUAAACGAUGGAUGCCCGCUGUCCGGCCUUUAGGCUGGGUGGCCAAGCGAAAGCGUUAAGCAUCCC
rnacentral:rRNA from 1 species